AACGUGGGCGGUNCGCCGCCGGCGACGUCGCGAGAAGUCCAUUGAACCUUAUCAUUUAGAGGAAGGAGAAGUCGUAACAAGGUUUCCGUAGGUGAACCUGCGGAAGGAUCAUUG
rnacentral:rRNA from 1 species